UGCCCGGUCUUUGCCCCGGAUAAACUUUCUAUAGUUCUGACGGUUUCCGACUUGGGAAAAGUAUUGUUCGUGAGACGGCGGUAAUUUCGGACUUCGUUCUGAAUGUCUCCUAUCGACCUGCGAUACAUUU
rnacentral:snoRNA from 1 species